UGGGGAAUAUUGGACAAUGGAGGAAACUCUGAUCCAGCAAUGCUGUGUGUGUGAAGAAGGUUUUAGGACUGUAAAACACUUUUAGUAGGGAAGAAAAAAAUGACGGUACCUACAGAAGAAGCAACGGCUAAAUACGUGCCAGCAGCCGCGGUAAUACGUAUGUUGCGAGCGUUAUCCGGAAUUAUUGGGCUUAAAGGGCAUCUAGGCGGUAAGACAAGUUGAAGGUGAAAACCUGUGGCUCAACCAUAGGCUUGCCUACAAAACUGUUGAACUAGAGUACUGGAAAGGUGGGUGGAACUACACGAGUAGAGGUGAAAUUCGUAGAUAUGUGUAGGAAUGCCGAUGAUGAAGCUAACUCACUGGACAGAUACUGACGCUGAAGUGCGAAAGCUAGGGGAGCAAACAGG
rnacentral:rRNA from 1 species